rnacentral:tRNA from 1 species
GGCCCUGUAGUUCAAUGGAUAGAAUGGAGGUUUCCUAAACCUUAGAUCGGGGUUCGAUUCCCCGCGGGGCUA